UACAGAGGUCUCAAGCGUUGUUCGGAUUCAUUGGGCGUAAAGGGUGCGUAGGCGGCGCGGUAAGUCGGGUGUGAAAUCUCGGAGCUUAACUCCGAAACUGCAUUCGAUACUGCCGUGCUUGAGGACUGGAGAGGAGACUGGAAUUUACGGUGUAGCGGUGAAAUGCGUAGAUAUCGUAAGGAAGACCAGUGGCGAAGGCGGGUCUCUGGACAGUUCCUGACACUGAGACACGAAAGCCAGGGGAGCAAACGGG
rnacentral:rRNA from 1 species